UACGUAGGGGGCAAGCGUUGUCCGGAUUUAUUGGGCGUAAAGAGCGUGUAGGCGGCUUUACAGGUCCGUUGUGAAAACUCGAGGCUCAACCUCGAGACGCCGGUGGAAACCGUAAAGCUAGAGUCCGGAAGAGGAGAGUGGAAUUCCUGGUGUAGCGGUGAAAUGCGCAGAUAUCAGGAAGAACACCCGUAGCGAAGGCGGCACUCUGGGCCGAUACUGACGCUGAGGAGCGAAAGCGUGGGGAGCGAACAGG
rnacentral:rRNA from 1 species